rnacentral:ncRNA from 1 species
UGGUUACCUGUUUCUACGUGAGGCAGGUAAACGGGAAGCCGGUGCGCACGAUCUGUGCAAUUCCGGCACUGCCCCCGCAACGGUAGGUGAGGACAGGAUGUAGCACCAAGCCACUGCGGCGUAGGCCGUGGGAAGGCGCGCCAUCCCGCACUCAGGUGCCCUCACAAGUCCGGAGACCGACCAGUAGU